AUACGGAGGAUGCGAGCGUUAUCCGGAUUUAUUGGGUUUAAAGGGUGCGUAGGCUGUGCGUUAAGUCAGGGGUGAAAUGCCGUCGCUCAACGACGGAGCUGCCCUUGAUACUGGCGUGCUGGAGUACGGAUGCCGUUGGAGGAAUGAGUGGUGUAGCGGUGAAAUGCUUAGAGAUCACUCAGAACACCGAUUGCGAAGGCAUCUGACGAAUCCGUCACUGACGCUGAGGCGCGAAAGCGUGGGGAUAGAACAGGAUUAGAUACCCUGGUAUUCCACGCCGUAAACGAUGAUGACUAACCGUCGGCGAUAGACAGCCGGUGGCCAAGCGAAAGCGAUAAGUCAUCCACCUGGGGAGUACGUCGGCAACGAUGAAACUCAAAUGAAUUGACGGGG
rnacentral:rRNA from 1 species